rnacentral:rRNA from 1 species
UACGGGGGGGGCAAGCGUUGUUCGGAAUUACUGGGCGUAAAGGGCUCGUAGGCGGCCAACUAAGUCAGACGUGAAAUCCCUCGGCUUAACCGGGGAACUGCGUCUGAUACUGGAUGGCUCGAGAUUGGGAGAGGGAUGCGGAAUUCCAGGUGUAGCGGUGAAAUGCGUAGAUAUCUGGAGGAACACCGGUGGCGAAGGCGGCAUCCUGGACCAACACUGACGCUGAGGAGCGAAAGCCAGGGGAGCAAACGGG